GUGGUGGCACAGAAUCGGAGGCCCCGACUGUUUACUUAAAACACAGCUUUCUGCGACGAAUAAUAUCUUUGUAUAGAAAGCGAAUUUUGCCCAAUGCCAUUAAUAUAAGGUCGAUAAGCGCUUAGCGUAAUUAUUGGCUGAAGUUCUGGUCAAUGGCGGUCUUAUCUAUGAGGAUCCUAAGGUAGCAAAAUUAAUUGUCCAUUAAAUGUGGUCCUGACUGAAUAAAGUAACGAUGGUCUUCGCUGUCUCUACAAGUAUCUCAGUGAAAUUGAAUUAGCCGUGCA
rnacentral:rRNA from 1 species